GACGAACGCUGGCGGCGUGCUUAACACAUGCAAGUCGAACGGAAAGGCCCUGCUUUUGUGGGGUGCUCGAGUGGCGAACGGGUGAGUAACACGUGAGUAACCUGCCCUUGACUUUGGGAUAACUUCAGGAAACUGGGGCUAAUACCGGAUAGGAGCUCCUGCUGCAUGGUGGGGGUUGGAAAGUUUCGGCGGUAGGGGAUGGACUCGCGGCUUAUCAGCUUGUUGGUGGGGUAGUGGCUUACCAAGGCUUUUACGGGUAGCCGGCCUGAGAGGGUGACAGGCCACAUUGGGAUUGAGAUACGGCCCAGACUCAUACGGGAGGAAGCAGUGGGGAAUAUUGCACAAUGGGCGGAAGCAGGAUGCAGCAACGCCGCGUGCGGGAUGACGGCCUUAGGGUUGUAAACCGCUUUAGCCUGUGACGAAGCGUGAGUGACGGUAAUGGGUCAAGAAGCACCGGCUAACUACGUG
rnacentral:rRNA from 1 species